UACGGAGGGUGCAAGCGUUAAUCGGAAUUACUGGGCGUAAAGCGCACGAAGGUGGCUGAGUCAGUCGAUUGUGAAAGCCCUGGGCUUAACCUGGGAAUUGCAGUCGAUACUACUCCGCUAGAGUAUGGGAGAGGGCAGUGGAAUUCCCGGUGUAGCGGUGAAAUGCGUAGAUAUCGGGAGGAACAUCAGUGGCGAAGGCGGCUGCCUGGCCCAAUACUGACACUCAGGUGCGACAGCGUGGGGAGCAAACAGG
rnacentral:rRNA from 1 species